UUUUUUGGGAAUUGUAUUUUUACUUCACAUCAACAUGAAUUUAGAGAAUCAUGGUGCUUUUAUUAAAAGAGCUUCAGAGUAUAUGUAAAUACGUUUUUAAAAGUCACGUCGCUGAUAUCAGUUAGGUAACCUAACAUUUCACUACUGCUCUAGGAUUGAUGUGCACUGUACAGCAUCCGAGGUAAAACGUGGUUUUGUUUUGUAAAAACUGUAGAUUUUUACUUACAAGUGCCUUUUUGCCACCUAAUGUUUUUAUUUAUAGGAAUGCUGAUCUUUUGUACAUAUGGUUUGUUUUAAAAUCAUGUUAAUAAGUUUGUAUAUAAGUGCAUAUGUAUAUAACCGGAUUUCAAAAAGAAAUCAAAGUUAUUAGUAACAUGCAAGAUUGCAUAUUAAGAAUUAACUGAUAAAUGCAUAUAGACUUUAGGUGAUUUUGUGGUUUGCUGCUGUAUCAUAAGGGAAGCUGUUGGUCAUUGAGUUCAUUUAAUUAUGUUGGAAUACUUUCCUAAAGAUUUAAUUUUAACUCCAUUUUGAUAGAGUGAUUUUAUUUUUAUGUUGUGUGGCUUCGUGUUUAUAUUUUGUGAGUUACAUGUUUUGCUUUAUUUUUAUAUAAAAUUUCUUUAAAAUUUAUAACGUUUCUAUAACAGCCCAUAUAUCUGCUUUUUUAUAAUGUGUUCUAAGUUAAUAUUUAUGUACACCAUACUUACUUUGUAAAUUUAAUACAAAUCUGGAAAAUUAAAUAACUUUUAUAAUCAAAUCCGUGCUUAUGUCUGAAUAAUUGAAAUCUGUAAGAUUCAGACACUAUUUAUAAGUAAUUUGCCUCAAAAGAAUAAAAUUGUCUAUAAAAGGUUAACAUAGUGUGGGAUAGAUUCUGAGAAAUUACAGAUCAGCUUCUGAUGUUAGUUCUGGCUUCAAGGUGAAUUCUAAACCUUCAGGCACUGCUGGCCACACCAUAUGACUUCUUUCUCUUAGGAAUGUGCAGUUACACUUGUUUUCAUCAGUCCUGAAAGGUUUAUUUUUAGAGAAUUGUUUAUAUGGUCUUCAUAUCAAAGAUUAGUGUUAAGAAUACAUAUAACAAUUCAUUUUAAAUUACUCAGGUUUUAGUAAACUUCCCACAGUAGUUUGCUACAAGUGAAAGGAAAUCUACAAGUUCAGAAAGACCUCAUUUUCAAGUGACAGUAAGAUUGAAUUAGUCAGCUUUGGUAAGAGUCAGCUGUGUGCUGUCCUGGGGCCUCAGAAGCACACUCGCUCGCUCACUGUUUUCCACUUUGGUAGACAAUGCCUUACUGUGGGGAUUCCUGUCUGCAGGAUCUGCUGCAUUCAUAAAGUCCUUAUUACAUUGCUUUACGUUUUGUUUGAUUACAGUUUCUUGGCCAGUUUUCAAUCCACAGUAGUCAUAAUUCUAAAUGAACUACAGUAGUUCUGAUACCUUGCUGGAGAAGAUAGAAACAGAAUCCCUCCUCCCCUUUUUAGCUAACAUGGAAAUUGGAAAUCAGUUUAAAAUAGUGAAGCUUUGUAAAGUGCAAGGCUAAAACUAAAAUUUAGGACUUUACAGUAUUCAGCCCUAAUCAGACAUACUCUUUAUUCCAUAACUUUAUUUUAUAACUUAAAUUUUUUUUGCAAUUGUAUAAAUUAGUGAUUGAGUCUCAGUCCCAGAUCUGUAGUGUAUUGAUCUAAUGAAUUGAUACUCUUUAAACGUGGACCUGUCCAGAGGUACUAUGGUGUGCUGUAUUGUGCUUUUAGCCUGUUUGCUGCAGUUAGCAUAUCCCAGUGAGGGUCAUAUAGACUCCAGUUUAUCAUGUAUUAAUAGCCUGUGAAUAUUACAGUCAUUUUUAGAGUAUAUUGGUCUAAAUAUGCAUUUUCCGAUGAGCCUGUUAAGCUGGUCACAUGUAUAGAUUAACAAAAUACUGUACCUGUAUACAUCUGACUGUUGGCAUUUUGUACUUUUUUCUAAGCCAAUAUUUCACAAUAAAAUAUGCCGAAAGCUUUGUGUUG
rnacentral:lncRNA from 1 species